rnacentral:lncRNA from 1 species
AUGGCCAGACUCAGCACAUCACCUGUAAUGGUCUUCAGUAUUCAAAAUGACACCUCAUAUACUAUUAUUAUCAAUGUCACCAUUAUUCUUCUGAGCAUUUACUGUGUUCCAGGCUACGUACACUUUUAUUUCAUCCUCAAAAUGCUCUGUAAGGUAGAUACCUGCAUUUUAUAUUUGAAGACACUAUGUACAUUUCAGAAAGGUGAAAGCACCAGACCAAAGUGUCACAUAGCUAGUACACAAUAUCUGGUCCUAAAGCUGACUCUUAUCCUAUUCUAUGUCCCCUCCCAAAUGCUAAUCAAAGUACAUAUCUAGUCCUGAUAUAGUUAGUUCCAGGAUUCAAAAUCUUAUUCAAAAAAUACUUCCUCUUUAAAAAAAAAAAACUUCCUCUUGGGGCACCUGGGUGGCUCAGUGGUUAAGCGUCUGCCUUCAGCUCAGGUCCUGAUCCCGAGAUCCUGAGAUCAAGUGCUGCAUCGAGCUUCCCGCAGGGAGCCUGCUUCUCUCUCUGCCUGUGUCUCUGCCUCUCUCUGUGUGUCUCUCAUGAAUAAAUAAAUAAAACCUUAAAGAAAAAGACUUCCUUUUCCAAAAACCUAAUUCUAUAACUGAGGAAAAAGGUCUAACUUCUGUUGAGUACAAGCUAUUGGCUGGGUACCUUAUAGAUACUCGUCUUCAACCUUCAGUACAGUUCUUCUAGAAUUAAUAUGUCUGUUUUAUGGAUGGAAAUUAAUAGUCUGAGAGAUUAAGUUGAUCUAUGGUCACAGGUAGUAAGAGAAUGAACUCGGUAUCUAACUCCAAAGCCUCUGAUCUUAAUAGACCAUCACAGCUUCCAAACGUAUAAUCUCUCCAUUCAGCAUUUUUCAAAGUGUGUUUUCCAGAACAAAUGUUCAUAGCUUUCUGAAAUAAAUGUUCUGUGGACACUUACUGGGAAACUUUGAGAAACACUGGGUUAAGGAAAGCUAAAUAAUUGCCUUAUUACUGGACAUCUCAAAGCUUCACAUAAUAACAUGCAAUGUGAAUGUCCGAGAGGGGGAUUUUAUAGGGGGUUCCUCAAACAGACUUGAUGGUGAAACCAUUCACAGAGCAUCUAGCAGAAACAGUGCUUCAUGUCACAAACUCUGGAAAAGUUCAAAGUUUACAAUUCAACUCUCCUGAAUUCUGUCCAAGCCACCAUCCUUAGCUGAUUCCUCACCCUGAUUCAGGCUGUGACUCUGCCCCUCACUGCAACCCAGUCUUCAAAGCUGACAAACAUUCACAGCAUCGCCAGUACAAAAUACUUCCCUGAAUGGAGAGCUGCUCAUGAACGUCAAGGUUUCCUACUGGAGGUGGGUCUAACCUGAAGCAAUCUGAAUGGACUUCCCUAUAGUGAAAUCACCCCGUCGGAAACUGUUCAGAAAACAGCCUGCAGGAACACAGUUUGUUUUCCACCUCAUAAGCAAGUUCUCCAUUAGAGAUCUGUAAAUUAAUAGCAGUGUUCAGAGCAUUCCAACGCAAGUUAAUAAAGCCUGGGUUCACCUCCUUUUCAGACUCGGGGGGCCCAGAUCCUACAAUUAACUACGUUUUCUGGCUUCCUUUCAACUACAAAGAACUGGGCCACACUCGUACAGUAUUGUUUACAAUAGUCAUCACCAAACAGUUUUCACUGAGUAUAAUCAAUUAAAAAAAAAAAUUAGGGGAUCCCUGGGUGGCGCAGUGGUUUGGCACCUGCCUUUGGCCCAGGGCGCAAUCCUGGAGAACUGGGAUCGAAUCCCACAUCGGGCUCCCGGUGCGUGGAGCCUGCUUCUCCCUCUGCCUGUGUCUCUGCCUCUCUCUCUCUCUCUGUGACUAUCAUAAAUAAAUAAAAAUUUAAAAAAUUUUUUUAAAAAUUAGCAUAUAUGUGGUAUGGAAAUGUAUUACUAAAUGAAUAUAUUAUGUACUGUAUGUUUAGGUAGUAAAUUCUUACACUCCAUGCUUGGUGCUCAGUUCCACAUGAAGGGAGCUGCACUAAGAUAAUACUCCAGCCUUCUCUCUCUUUAGGUGAGAAGAGGGAAUUCUUCAGAUGAUUGCUAUCUAGGGAAGCAAGGGCCCGUAGAGCAUAGCACACUCCUUCUCUCCUAUUUAGGGUCAGACGUCUUCAGGGAGCACCCCUUCCACCUGGCCCCAGUCAGCGGAGGCUUAGUGGUAAAAAAAGCCCCCACAAAAGGAGCCCUGUGAUUUUCGGAGAACAUGUCUAAUUCUGGGAUUCAGGCUUAGGAAAUUCAGGUGACUUCUGCCCAUCUCACCUGAGCCAGAUGCUUCCAUGGCUCUCUCAGGAAGAAAGCUGCCGUUUUGUUUUUCAGUUCCCAGGUCCCUCUGUCUCUCUCAAUUCUAACCUCAGGUGAGGAAAAAGGCAAGUUGUAUGUUAGGCUCCUUAAAAACUGACUAUUCGGGGGCACCCGGAUGGCUCAGUGGUUGAGCACCUGCCUUCCGCCCAGGGCGUGAUCCUGGAGUCCCACGUGGGGCUCCCUGCAGGGAGCCUGCUUCUCCCUCUGCCUGUGUCUCUGCCUCUCUCUCUGUCUCUCAUGAAUAAAUUUUGUUAUUUUUUAAACUGCCUUUUGGCUACUGAUUAGGCUAAUUUUAGCUAAUUUAUUAUAGUAGUUUUUAUAUAUUAUAAUAAAAAUAUAUGUAAUUAAAAGUAAAGGAUAAGCUAAAAAAUAAUUAAAAGAGGUAAUUUUUCACUACCCUGAGAUAAUAAGAGAUCUCUAUCGGUCUCUGCUCCCAGUUCGUAGCACAGAGCUCCUGAAACCCUCAUACAGAAUUUCCUGACUGAUAAGAGCAUCAGAAGCAUCUUUUGUUCUAAUAUUUGUUCUGUGAUCCUAGUUCCUGACACAAGGCUUCUGAAACCCUUGUAAUUUCCUAGGUGAAAGGAGUAGCUCUUGUUCCAACAAGGUGCUUCUGGGGUCUGGACAGCUUCCAGAAGAGGGGCUGGUCAGCAGAAAGACCAAGCCCUGAUCAGAAGCUGGGUACUUUCAGCCCAUCCCCAUCCUCUUGAGAAGGGAGGACUAGAAAC